UCUAAUAUUUCCUGCUGCUCGCACUCAAGAAAACUCUGGGAAGCUGUGGGGGUGGUGGGUAAAUGCCCCACAGAUGACACCCUGGGGGACUGUGAGCCCAGGGCACCUUUCCUCCUUUUCAUUGCUCCUGCCAGGUGUCAUGGUCACAAUGAGAAAAGAAUCUAGAGAUGCCGAGAUCUACCCGAGAAGAUGGGCACAACUUUGCAGAUCAAAGCCAUCUGAAGAGCAAAAGGUACUGGACACCAAACAUCACACUGGCUUUGAGAAUAAGUUUAAAGCUGGGCACAACACAUGCAUUUAUAGUACCAGCACUCAGGAGGCUGAGGCAGGGGGAUUGUGAGUUGAAGUGCAAUUCUGCUUCAAAAACAAAUAAAAGUGGUUCUAACUAUAUGAAAUUGCUAUUUUUAUGUUCUAAGAAUGACUGGAUUAGGCAAUUUCACAUGGUUUACCCUGAUGAAAUAUUUGAGUGUUUUAUGUGGCAACAGUGUCCUAAAAGUUUAGGACUAGGGCCGUGGCUCAGGUAUUGAACCACUUGCCUAGCAUACACCAAGUCCUGGCUUUGAUUCCCGUUGCCAUGUGAGAUUGCAUGUGGCAGUAUAUGCUUAUAGUUCCAGCACUUGGGAGAUAGAGGCAAAAGGGUCAUCCUUAGCUACAUAGUGAGUUCCAGGCCAACUUAGGCUACAUGAGACCCUGGUCCCACAAAAACAUCUUUCUUUGUCUUGCCUAACAUGACUGUCUCAAGUCUUCUCUGUAAAUGUCACAUCAUUGUCCCAGAGAUGGAGAAGCUAAGGUCUGCAGGGCAGGUCAUCUACCAGCUCAUAUACUGCUCAGCAGGGGUGGGAUUUGAAUUCUAGAGUUACAUGCAGAUCUCCAACCCCAGGGUCAAUGCAACUUACGCCAGCGUUUCCACUUGAGGGCACUUCUGAAGGCUGGAGGCCAGCCGCUGGGCACCGGCAGCCGUGAACUUGUUAAACUGGACACUGAAGAGAGAGGUCCAUCCUGAGGCCAGGCUACUCCUAUCCCAACCCUUCCCAUGAUGCAGCUCCUAGACCCACCCGGAAGACUUGCUGAAGAGUUGGAGCUGCUACACCGAGGGCCACCGGGAGGUGGCAGUGUAAGCACUGACUGGAAUGGUGAUGGACCUCUCAGAAGCCAGCACCGCGGGACUCUCCUGCUGCAGAUGAGGAAAUAGAAGCUUGGAACAAGUAAGCAACUUGCCCAGGGCUCUGGUGAUGUUCAGCUGAGUCUAGUGUGUGUGAAGGCCAGAGGACCACGUACGUGCAGGAGUCAGUUCUCUCCCUUGGCCGUGUGGCUCCUGAGGCUGGAACUCAAAUUGUCCAGCUUGGCAGCAGCACCGUCUCUGGCUAAGCCACCCUGCCAGCUUUCCCCCACUUUUUCUUGAGAUUGGUUCUGGUUCUCCUGGCUGGCCUUAAACUCACUGUUAUCCUACUGUGUCAGGCUCCCCAUUGCUACGAUGCCCAGAUUACUAUAUUGUAAGUAUGGCUUAUUUAUUUGUUUGCUUCUGGUUUAUUGUAUGUGAAGAUGCCUGAGGUCUGAGAGCAGGAUCUUCAGGGUCUCCACUGUUGCUUGUGAUAGCAGGGGUUCUUUAAGUCUGUUCAUUAAUCUAAUAAAUGAAGUCUGGAGAAACAGCUCA